GAAGGCAGGAAUCGGCUGUUAGUUCAGAUUCUUGGAUGGCCGCUGGUUUUGUUGUAAGAUUAGCAGCUACACCAUUAGAGGACAUUAUUGUCAAAGACUCGUCUCCUUAGCUCUGGGUUUCUUAUUUAUUGGGUUGUGUUGAGCUGUAGAUGUGUGUUGUUUAAGUGAUUGAGAAUGCUAAAGUGAAUACACUCAUAUAGCGCCUUGCCUGAUCCUUCUUUCUUGUGUCGACCUCUCCAGCGGCUCCGCUCUCCCAGGUUCAUCCUCUGACCCUCGGCCUGGUGUCCGUUCUUUGUCUGCUGCUCCUCCUUCUCCUGCUUUGGUGCUCCAUCAGGAACAUAAAGCUAAACAAGAGAGCCCACCACGCAGCGGGCAGGCCUAACAGAAGACAUCAGACAGAACAAGAAAAGAACAAAAGAGGGGAAAGGCCUGAAGCCCAGUGUGCCAGCCCUGGAGGUGAAGAUGCUUGUUACGCUGCCAUUGAUUUUUCUAAAAGGAAAUCCAACAAGAAAACAGAGGAGGAUUAUGUGAAUUCUAAUGUCCUGAGAAACUGGACAGAUGAAGUUGUGGUAUACGCGAGUAUUAAACACUAACGAAACUGAAGAAGCUCAGCAUUGCAGUUCAUCUUCAUAAGAACACAGUUUGAAAAACACAUAAUGAAUGGACCACGACGGUGGCAACCACCCACACAAGAAAGAGCUGACCAGAGUUGUGUAUCACCCAGACCUGGACAUCAUUAGGUGGGUCUGACUUAAUAAGUGUCCACCUGAUUGGCUAGAACAUAUCCUGAUAGGCAUGAAAGUCACCACCUGACCUCUGUCACCACCUACUUAGCUCAAUGUGUCCAAUUAUGGUUGCUCCCUUACGUUCAGAUUAAGUCCAUCAUGCAUCAGGUGUCCCAUGGUGGAUCAUCCACCACUCGACCUUUGAAAAUAAACAGUCAUGGAAAUGCACAUUGAAUUUACAAGGCACCACAAUACCAUCAAAGCCCUGAAAAGUCCAUUAUAGAGAAGGAGAAUCUGUGAAGAAGGGGGCUUCCUCCAUUGGGCAGUCUAAGCAAGAAGACCCGUAGUCACUAAACUGUGUGUUCAGAUGGUGAUGGUGAUCAUGAGUUCAAAAUCCACAAAAAUCUUGAAUUCUAGGCGCUAGAGUGCGUUGUUUAGGAAGAAGUGCAGUGUGGAUGAUCGCCUUUGGGUGUUGUGAAUGGUGACAUGGAAAGACCAGUGUCCCAGCUGGGUUGGAGGGUGCCACCUUUUCUAAAGCAUAAACAGUGUGAUUGAAGAAGUAACUCGGCCGGGAUGGCUAAUCAUUCCUAUCCUAGUCAGGGCAGUUGGGGUGUAGUGUAGUAGAUGGACUGGGACAGUUUACCCCUCAACAUGGGAGGUGGCAGUGCUUCUCCAGUCAGCUCCCAAUUUGGAUACCUGCAGGGUAUCAUGGG